rnacentral:rRNA from 1 species
UACGUAGGUGGCAAGCGUUGUCCGGAUUUACUGGGCGUAAAGCGUGUGUAGGCGGCCAGAAAAGUCCGCUGUGAAAACUCGAGGCUCAACUUCGAGCUGUCGGUGGAAACUUUCUGGCUAGAGUCCGGAAGAGGAGAAUGGAAUUCCCGGUGUAGUGGUGGAAUGCGUAGAUAUCGGGAGGAACACCAGUGGCGAAGGCGGUUACCUGGAGCUUUGCUGACGCUGAUGCGCGAAAGCGUGGGGAGCGAUCCGG